UGGGGAAUUUUGGACAAUGGGGGCAACCCUGAUCCAGCCAUGCCGCGUGCGGGAAGAAGGCCUUCGGGUUGUAAACCGCUUUUAUUCGGGAAGAAGGAGUAGGGGUUAAUACCCUCUAUGACGGACGGUACUGGAUGAAUAAGCACCGGCUAACUACGUGCCAGCAGCCGCGGUAAUACGUAGGGUGCGAGCGGUAAUCGGAAUUACUGGGCGUAAAGCGUGCGUAGGCGGCUUGUCAAGUCAGCUGUGAAAGCCCCGGGCUUAACCUGGGAAUGGCGGUUGAAACUAGCAAGCUUGAAUCUGGCAGAGGGGGGUGGAAUUCCACGUGUAGCAGUGAAAUGCGUAGAGAUGUGGAGGAACACCGAUGGCGAAGGCAGCCCCCUGGGCUGAGAUUGACGCUCAGGCACGAAAGCGUGGGGAGCAAACAGG
rnacentral:rRNA from 1 species